rnacentral:tRNA from 1 species
GGGCCUGUAGUUCAACUGGGAGAGCGCCGCACUGGCUGUGCGAAGAUGUGGGUUCGAUUCCCAUCGGGUCCA